GCGAGGGGGCGUAGCCAAGAUGGCCGCGCGCAAGAGUUGCGAGUCCUGGCCGCGCUCAGGGGAAACGCUCAGGACACCGUUGUGGAAUUUGGGUCUUUCGACCCUUCCUGCCUGAUGUCCAUCUGCCCGGAUUACUGGACCUACUCGGGGUCUCUGACCACCCCGCCGCUCUCCGAAUCCGUCACCUGGAUCAUUAAGAAGCAAGCAAUAGAGGCUGAUGACGACCAGCACCAGUUCAGACCAGACCCAAGUGUCAGUCCUUUAGUGGCUCCCAGACACAUCAGAAGACAUUCGCCAAUCAGCUCCCAGACUGAUGAGAAAGCACACACUGAAUAGACCACCCUAAGGUAGGUAUAGCCCUCAAUCCUGAGUUGUCAUGCCUUCCCCCACCCUGUGAGGGGUCUGUGUCUGGCCAGACUGCAAUUUCAAUCUUUC